CAGUGCCUACGGGGGGCAGCAGUGGGGAAUAUUGCACAAUGGGGGAAACCCUGAUGCAGCGACGCCGCGUGAGCGAUGAAGUAUUUCGGUAUGUAAAGCUCUAUCAGCAGGGAAGAAAGAAAUGACGGUACCUGACUAAGAAGCCCCGGCUAACUACGUGCCAGCAGCCGCGGUAAUACGUAGGGUGCAAGCGUUAUCCGGAUUUACUGGGUGUAAAUGGAGCGUAGACGGCAGUGCAAGUCUGUAGUGAAAGGCGGGGGCCCAACCCCCGGACUGCUUUGUAUACUGUGCUUCU
rnacentral:rRNA from 1 species